rnacentral:lncRNA from 1 species
GGGGACGGGUAUGCAGACUCUGCAAAUCCCUCUAAGGAUACUGUCUGACUCUCUGACAUAACUUGCCACAUCUACUAACACUGCACUAGGGCUUAGGGCCUAAUGCCCUAUCUCUAUUUCCAUCUCUGAAUUAUGGCCCUAGAGCAUUGGCUGAGGGCAGAGCUAGAACUUAGGAUUUUGGGUAGAACUGAGAAUAAUUCUCACCCUCUGACACAGGCUGAGC